CUACGAAGGGGGCUAGCGUUGUUCGGAAUUACUGGGCGUAAAGCGCGCGUAGGCGGAUUGGUCAGUUAGGGGAGAAAUCCCAGGGCUUAACCCUGGAACUGCCUCUAAUACUGCCAGUCUUGAGUUCGGGAGAGGUGAGUGGAAUUCCUAGUGUAGAGGUGAAAUUCGUAGAUAUUAGGAAGAACACCAGUGGCGAAGGCGGCUCACUGGCCCGAUACUGACGCUGAGGCGCGAAAGCGUGGGGAGCAAACAGGAUUAGAUACCCUAGUAGUCC
rnacentral:rRNA from 1 species